rnacentral:rRNA from 1 species
AGCGAACGCUGGCGGCAGGCUUAACACAUGCAAGUCGAGCGGGCGUAGCAAUACGUCAGCGGCAGACGGGUGAGUAACGCGUGGGAACAUACCUUUUGGUUCGGAACAACACAGGGAAACUUGUGCUAAUACCGGAUAAGCCCUUACGGGGAAAGAUUUAUCGCCGAAAGAUUGGCCCGCGUCUGAUUAGCUAGUUGGUGAGGUAACGGCUCACCAAGGCGACGAUCAGUAGCUGGUCUGAGAGGAUGAUCAGCCACAUUGGGACUGAGACACGGCCCAAACUCCUACGGGAGGCAGCAGUGGGGAAUAUUGGACAAUGGGCGGCAAGCCUGAUCCAGCCAUGCCGCGUGAGUGAUGAAGGCCCUAGGGUUGUAAAGCUCUUUUGUGCGGGAAGAUAAUGACGGUACCGCAAGAAUA